AGAGUUUGAUCCUGGCUCAGAUUGAACGCUGGCGGCAUGCUUUACACAUGCAAGUCGAACGGCAGCACGGGUGCUUUGCACUUGGUGGCGAGUGGCGGACGGGUGAGUAAUGCAUCGGAACGUGUCCUGAAGUGGGGGAUAACGCAUCGAAAGAUGUGCUAAUACCGCAUAUUCUCUGAGGAGGAAAGUAGGGGAUCGAAAGACCUUAUGCUUUUGGAGCGGCCGAUGUCUGAUUAGCUAGUUGGUAGGGUAAUGGCUUACCAAGGCGACGAUCAGUAGUUGGUCUGAGAGGACGACCAGCCACACUGGGACUGAGACACGGCCCAGACUCCUACGGGAGGCAGCAG
rnacentral:rRNA from 1 species